GCUUGUCUCAAAGAUUAAGCCAUGCAUGUCUAAGUAUAAGCGCCUUAUACUGUGAAACUGCGAAUGGCUCAUUAUAUCAGUAAUAGUUUAUUUGAUGGUCCCUUACUACCUGGAUACCCGUAGUAAUUCUAGAGCUAAUACAUGCACUACAUUCCCAACUGCUUUUGCGGGCGGGCUGCCUUUAUUAGAUCGAAACCAAUGCGGCGCAAGCCGGUGUUGUGGUGAUUCAUGAUAACUUUGGGCUGAUCGUAUGGCCUUGUGCCGACGACGUUUCCUUCGAAGGUGUGCCCUAUCAACUGUCGACUGUGAUAUAGACGCUCACAGUGGUUUUGACGGGUAACGGGGAAUCAGGGUUCGAUUCCGGAGAGGGAGCCUUAAAAACGGCUACCACAUCCAAGGAAGGCAGCAGG
rnacentral:rRNA from 1 species